rnacentral:rRNA from 1 species
UACGUAGGGUGCGAGCGUUGUCCGGAAUUAUUGGGCGUAAAGGGCUCGUAGGCGGUUUGUCGCGUCGGGAGUGAAAACCUUGGGCUUAACUCAGGGCUUGCUUUCGAUACGGGCAGACUAGAGGUAUGCAGGGGAGAACGGAAUUCCUGGUGUAGCGGUGAAAUGCGCAGAUAUCAGGAGGAACACCGGUGGCGAAGGCGGCAUCCUGGACCGGCAUUGACGCUGAGGAGCGAAAGCCAGGGGAGCAAACGGG